UACAGAGGGUGCAAGCGUUGUCCGGAAUCACUGGGCGUAAAGGGCGCGUAGGCGGCCCGAUAAGUAGGGGGUGAAAUCUUGCGGCUCAACCGCAAGGCUGCCUUCUAGACUGUCGGGCUUGAGCACAGUAGAGGCAGGUGGAAUUCCCGGUGUAGCGGUGGAAUGCGUAGAGAUCGGGAAGAACAUCGGUGGCGAAGGCGGCCUGCUGGGCUGUUGCUGACGCUGAGGCGCGACAGCGUGGGGAGCAAACAGGAUUAGAUACCCUGGUAGUCCACGCCGUAAACGAUGGGUACUAGGCGUCGGGGGGAGCGACCCUCCCGGUGCCGUCGCUAACGCAGUAAGUACCCCGCCUGGGGAGUACGGCCGCAAGGCUGAA
rnacentral:rRNA from 1 species